rfam:Danio rerio chromosome 4, GRCz11 reference primary assembly.
GCUUUGGUGGUUCAGUGGUAGAAUUCUCGCCUCCCACGCAGGAGACCCGGAUUUGAUUACCGGCCAAUGGA